AGCUGGUUGAAGUCGGGCCAAAU
rnacentral:miRNA from 9 species